rnacentral:rRNA from 1 species
GCUGCUAAUACCGCAUGAUACCUGAGGGUCAAAGGCGCAAGUCGCCUUAGGAGGAGCCUGCGUCUGAUUAGGUAGUUGGUGGGGUAAAGGCCUACCAAGCCUACGAUCAGUAGCUGGUCUGAGAGGAUGAUCAGCCACAUUGGGACUGAGACACGGCCCAGACUCCUACGGGAGGCAGCAGUGGGGAAUAUUGGACAAUGGGCGCAAGCCUGAUCCAGCAAUGCCGCGUGGAUGAAGAAGGUCUUCGGAUUGUAAAGUCCUUUUGGCGGGGACGAUGAUGACGGUACCCGCAGAAUAAGCUCCGGCUAACUUCGUG